rnacentral:pre_miRNA from 1 species
CUUGUAAUCCCUCCGUCCGGAAAUACUUGUCAUUGAAAUGGAUGUAUCUAGAUGUAUUUUAGUUCUAGACACAUCCAUUUUGAUGACAAGUAAUUCCGGACGGAGGGAGUACUUG